UACGAAGGGCGCUAGCGUUGUUCGGAAUCACUGGGCGUAAAGCGCACGUAGGCGGAUGUGUCAGUCAGGGGUGAAAUCCCGGAGCUCAACUUCGGAACUGCCCUUGAUACAGCACGUCUUGAGUCCGGAAGAGGUGGGUGGAAUUCCUAGUGUAGAGGUGAAAUUCGUAGAUAUUAGGAAGAACACCGGUGGCGAAGGCGGCCCACUGGUCCGGUACUGACGCUGAGGUGCGAAAGCGUGGGGAGCAAACAGG
rnacentral:rRNA from 1 species